rnacentral:tRNA from 1 species
GCCAGUUUGGCUCAGUGGACAGAGCAUUGGCCUGCAGACCAAAGGGUCCCUGGUUCGAUUCCAGUCAAGGGCA